CUUGUCCUACGGGGGGCAGCAGUGGGGAAUAUUGCACAAUGGGGGAAACCCUGAUGCAGCGACGCCGCGUGAGCGAAGAAGUAUUUCGGUAUGUAAAGCUCUAUCAGCAGGGAAGAAAAAUGACGGUACCUGAGUAAGAAGCACCGGCUAAAUACGUGCCAGCAGCCGCGGUAAUACGUAUGGUGCAAGCGUUAUCCGGAUUUACUGGGUGUAAAGGGGGCGCAGACGGCCAUGGCAAGCCCGGUGUGAAAGGCAGGGGCAUAACCCCUGGACUGCACUGGGAACUGUCAGGCUGGAGUGCCGGG
rnacentral:rRNA from 1 species